ACGGGUGAGUAACGCGUGAGUGACCUGCCUUCAAGAGGGGGAUAACAUUCUGAAAAGAAUGCUAAUACCGCAUGACGUAUCGGAACCACAUGGUUUUGAUAUCAAAGAUUUUACCGCUUGAAGAUGGACUCGCGUCCGAUUAGUUAGUUGGUGAGGUAACGGCUCACCAAGACCGCGAUCGGUAGCCGGACUGAGAGGUUGAACGGCCACAUUGGGACUGAGACACGGCCCAGACUCCUACGGGAGGCAGCAUG
rnacentral:rRNA from 1 species